AAAUUUGACUUAAAAAGAGAUCAAUUAAUAUUGUUUGGACUUGUGGAGUCCACUACGAGUCACAUCUCAAUGAUCUGAAUUAUUUAUUUUUUAGAUCACAAUAUAUAAAUUAUUUAUAUAAAAAAUUAAGUCGAUCCGAUAAUUUUAACUACCUUAAUUUAUGAUAUUUAUUUGUAAAAAAAUUAAUAUUUAAAAACCAAACCAUACAUUUUUUUGGGGACCGGAGAGAAGCUGGGUUCACUUGACGUGACGUUUAACUUUUUUAGAAUAAUAUUUUGAUAUUUUUAACAGAGACUCGUGCCAAACAUCCUACUAAUUCAUUUUAGAGCCCUAUAUAUAGAGAAGCUCUGUAACUAUGAAAUCCUUGAGGCGAGUGUGCUUCCUUGUCUGAUGUGUGUGCAUGUUAGAAGCAAGUAAUUGCUUUGCUUCCCAAAGCAGCCAAAAACAGACAAUAAUAAAAUAUUUGCAACAACAACCACAGUCGAUCGAGUAGUAAGAAAGUGGCAAGUAUGAUGGAGGAAUCAGCAGCAGCAGCAGCAACAACAACAACAUCUUCCGAGGUUCAUGAAUUGCCAGGGUUUUAAUUUCAUCCCACAGAGGAAGAACUUGUCGGAUUCUACCUCAAAAACGUAAUUUUCGGCAAAAAAUAGCGCUCCGAUAUCAUCGGUUUCCUCAACAUCUACCAUCAUGAUCCAUGGGACUUGCCCGGCACAUUGCUAAGACAUUGUAUGGUGAUGAUGAUGAAGAGGUUACUCCUCAGAAUAGCGGCACAGUGGAGGAGCCAAAAUUUUUAGGUCUUUACCCUGGAUCAAAUGAGAAGGUUUUCCUUGUUUUGGUUUAACAUCAAUUAUGUGAAAAUGAAUCUUUAUCAUCUUCAGAAGCUUAUUACUGCUUUUAAUGUAUGUAUGGGAAUUAUUUUUAUUUUUUAGAUUCUCUUGAAGAAUGGUCCUAAUGGGUUUUAUGUUCAGCUUGGUAAGGACAGGAAGGGAUACUAGCCUAAAAGAGCCUCGGUUUCCUAUUUACAGCCUCAUUUGUAUUUGUAAUGGGACUACUAAAUUUUUGGAGCUUUAAUUCCUUGCCUACUGCCAUUAUCUGCAUAUAUGUAAAUGCUUAAGUUAAGCAUCUAUGCUUCGUUUUGUUUUCAAGUAAAUUAGGGAUGAAUACUUAGCCACUACUGGUCAUUAAGAAAGUCUUGUGAUGUUAAUUUUCUUCCUUUUUUUUCCCCUUCAAAACAAUUAACAUCAAGGGAUAAUCUGUGGAUCAGAUACAAAGGGUUCGGUCAUGCCUGUUUGGUUUAACUUGGUUAUUCGAAUCAAGCCUUCAAGUUUCAAAAAAUCCAUACAUAUACAGACUGAAAUUAAUAAAUGUAAACAUAAAUUUAUGCAUAAUGUUAUCAUAAAAUCUAUAAACCUAAGACUGAACAUAAACAUAUCUAGAGAUUCUAGACUGCUCUUGCAUGCUUUUCUCUCUUUAUGCAAGCAUUCAUGUGCUGACACUUGUUCUCUUGGAAGAAGAAUAUACCUUGUGGAAUAUGUCUUUUAUUUUGCAUAUUUGUGUUGUGAACUGCACGAUAGAAAAAAAGAUGGAUUAUAAAAGAUUAAGGGGCAUAUAUAAAAUUUCAAUGGGGACAAUUUGAAGAACUUUAUAAGGACAGGUUAACUUGUAAUUUUGAAAGAGUUGAGGGGAGGCACUGCCCCCUCUGGGCCAAUAAUGGCUCCGCCACUGGCCACAUGAAUAUCUUGCUUCUUCUAUUGAUACCCAUUUCUAGAGUGUUUUUCUUUUCUUUUUGUUUUUAGUAUUGUAGAUGCAGACGCAGUAGUCGUCGUUGUUCUUAUUAUUAUCUGAAUCCAAUACUGUGUCAUAUUUAUUGUCGUUAAUGAAUAAUUUUUGUUUGUUGCUAUAUAGCCUCUGCUCCUCGUGUUUCAUCAGUAUUGAAUAAUUAAAAGUGGGAUACAAAAUGUGCAGUUUAUCAGCUCCCUAUAGAAUUGACAGUGGUCACAUCAUCCUCCCAGAAUAUCGCUACUACUUUUGUAGUUAAUUUCAUAAAUUCCAUUAAUCUUUAAAACAAUAUUUUCCCUUAUUCUUGACCUUGCAGGUUGUUUUUCUCACUACUUCCAUUCAUGUCCUUUUAAACUUCUUGAUUUUUUUUUGGAAGGUUCACCUGUUCCAGCAUAAUCCUCACUGACUGAAUAAUGACUCAUUUUUUAUUCCUGAAAAUCUUCUCUGCUUCAGGCAGCUGCCCCUCUAUUCUUGCCAAUGUUUGUCACAUUAUUCUAGAGCAAACUAUGCUUCAACCACUGAGCUGAAACUCCAUUCCAGUGUCUGUGGUUAUCUCUCAAUCAUAUUGUCAUAUAGCUGGAAGGUUUUGGAAUUGGUUGUUUUGGAUCAUUUGGUCGUCAAUCUUCCUUUUAUACUUCAUCCCUUUCUUCUUUUCCUUGUCGUGGUCCUACUUCUGAAACAUUUUGUAUUAGAAUAUCUGGUUUUGCGCCAAUCUGAUUUUGUCAAAGUUAAAAGUCGCAUUUCAUCCAGUUUUUAUUUGUAUCACAAUUUGAUUUCGGUAUUAGAAUAUCUAGCUUCCUCUAAUUUUUAAAAAGUUUUAUCAUGUGCCUAGGGCAAAGAAGAUGCUAUCCGCAAGUAUGAAAAGUCCUGCAUGAUGUUUUUUAUAGGUAAAAGAAUAUAACUAAUGUAUGACAUAUUUUAAUACUUACAAUCAUGUAACUAUAGAAUGUCAAAAAAAUUUACCAGUUCGUUUAAUGCCCCCCUUUUAAAAACCUUUACUAAAGCACGUGAAGCUUCCACUAAGGUUUUUAAGCACCAAAGUUGAUGAUAAUUGCACGUGAAGCUUCCACUAAGGUUUAACCUUUACUAAACCUUUACUAAUAUAUUUUUCAUCAGUAUGUUUCUGUUAUUAUUUUCCUCCAAGGGGGAGUACCUGGAGGACAAUUGCAUUUGGCCAUGAUGCAAUAACUUGGUGCUCAAAUAUGCUGGCUGUUGUGGAUUAAUUGUAAAAUAUGGAUUUAUAAAUAAAUAAAUAAAAAGAACAAGAAUCUUAAAAAUAUGGAUUAUGUGGAUGCUCUUUGAGGUCUCUUGGUGCAUCUAGCAUCCACAGAUGGGAGAUCGACUUUGAUCCAUGCCUUCGUUUUAUUUUUUUAGGAUAUCAUGCACAAGCUUCAGUUCAGAACUUUUUUAUGAACUGUUUCGAUAUGGCAGUUCAUGCAUCUAUAAACAUUGCCUGCUUCUUUCACCCCCUCAAAAACAAAUAAAAAAUAAAAAAUAAAAUAAAUGAAUAAAAUGACUUGUAUUUGUUGUAAUAUUUAAUUCAUACAUGAUUGAAAACAUUAUUAUCUUAGAAAUUUUUUUGACAAGUAACAUGUGUUAUUUUAGAUAAAAAAAAUGUAGACUCUAUUACCCUGGAAGAUGCUAUUGAGUUGCUGCGCUAUCCUGCGACAUUGGUAUGUCUUCAUCUAAAUAGAGGGUUUUUAAAAAAAAAAAUUAUUUGUCAUUGUCAAACUCAGUUUUCCUGUAUCCAUGUUAGGGAAACCAUCCUGAUGAUGGCCCGCCAGUUGUAAGCUUGCAAAGUUUGGAUUUUCCAUUAGACAUCGACGAACAAUCGUGCCUGUACCCACAAGAACUUGAAGCCGAAAGAUAUAACCUUUGAGAAAGCAUUAGAGCUUUUGUUGGGUAAAGAUGUAAAACGAUGGGGCCGACCGAAGAGCAAACCAAAGCUUGAAGGGGCCGUUGAGGCGAUAUAGGCAUGACAUAUUCUAUGGCCAAGGCCCGGUACAAGAAAUUUAAAGUCAGUGCAAUUGGUAUGCAUAUAUAAAGACAUCCAUUUGCGGCAUCUCCUCCAGUUCUUCCAUUGGUGAGGUUUCAACAGAGCCAAUACAGGUUGUAUCUAACUCACACCAACAUAUCUGAUGGCAGGAAAUGUAGUGUAAUGGACGUUAGUAGUAGCCAAUUUUGUUGUAAUUCAUGAAUAAGCUUAAGUAGUAUAUAUGUGGCCAAAAUUUGAUUUAA